rnacentral:lncRNA from 1 species
UUUAUUUCACUCUUUAUUUAUUUAUUUUUUUUUUUUGGUUUUUUGACACAGGGUUUCUCUGUAUAGUCUUGGCUGUCCUGGAACUCACUCUGUAGACCAGGCUGGCCUCGAACUUAGAAAUCUGCCUGCCUCUGCCUCCCCGAGUGCUGGGAUUAAAGGUGUGCACCACCACGCCCGGCUCCUUUAUUUCACUCUUACAUCAACAAUACCUUACAAAGUUUUAGUUUUGUUUUCUCCUUUGACAUUUUGAAGUUGUAACUUCAUUAUUAUCUUAUGUACUGGUUGCUCCUGAGAGCCCAGUUUCUUUUGUUAUUAUUUGAGACAGGGUCUCACUGUAUAGCGCUGAACUGAAACUCAGGUUUGCCUCUCUUCUGAGUGUUGGAAUUAACAGUGUGAGCUACCUUGUCUUGCCAUGAGAACCCCAUUUCCAAUGUUAAUUAAUUAAUUAAUUAAUUUUUGGUGUUUUUUUUUUUUAAUUCUCCUGUCUUCUGGAAGCUUCCAUAUUUUCUGUUUCUGAUCUUCAGUGUAUUUUUCACUGCUUUUUCUGUCUUUUGUAUCUCACAACUCUACUCUUGGGUUAGCAGUUGUUGUGUGAACCUUUCCUGGGGAGAAACAGAUGUCUCUUUGCCCCAGUUCUGCCACCAGCAGUAGACCAAAACAGCAGUUCCAGUCGCGUCCAUGAGUUUAAUUAGGGUCCCUGCUUUAGUUUGCAUACCUAUUUCUGUGAGAAAAUACCCUGACAAAAGUGACUUAAGGGAGAGAGGGUUUCUCUUGACUCAUGGCUCCAAGUAGAGUCCACCAUGGUGAGGAAGUUGGAGCAUGGAGAGCUUGAGGGAGCUGGUCAGAUGGAAUCUACUGUCCCAGCUGUGUAAUGGCCCCACCCACAGUGGGCAAGUCUUCCCUCUUUAGUUAAUGCCAUCCAGAUAACCCCCAACAGGCAUUCCUAGAUGUCAGUUUCCCAGGUGCUCCUAGAUUAAGUCUCAUUGACAGUUAACACUAGACAUCACAAUUCCUUGCAGGAAUGGAAAGGUUAACUACAGGAGCAUGGGCACCUGAUGGGCAGCCAUACCACUGGAGGGGAAAACCUCUGCAUUAACUGUUCAUAAAUCUUGGGCACAGGGCUGGAGAGAUGGCUCAGUGGCUAAGAGCACUGGCUGAUGCUCUUCCAGAUAGACUGAGUUGAAUUCCCAGCAACCUCAUGGUGGCUCACAACCAUCUGUAAUAGGAUCUGAUGCCCUCUUCAGGCAUGUAGAUGUACAUACAGAUAGAACACUCAGGCACAUAAUAAAUGAAUACAUCUAAAAAACGAAACAAAAAAAAGGUAUGUGCCACAAUAAAUAUUGGUUGGGCCAAUAAAUACUUUAAAAAAAGACAAUCUUGGGGGGGUGGGUAUGGGAGACUUUUGGGAUAGCAUUGGAAAUGUAAAUGAGGAAAAUACCUAAUUUAAAAAAACAUUUA